rnacentral:misc_RNA from 1 species
GAAAUAUCUGGUUUGAGGCUGCCACAGUGGUUGCUGUUCCUCCACCUGUAGAAAUUCCUGCUGGAAAUGUCCUGAAAUCAGCAUUAGCAGGAGGACUUUCCUGUGCAUUGUCUACAGCGUUAAUGCACCCCGUGGAUACAGUUAAGACACAAGUCCAAGCAUCAACACUAACCUUUCCACAAAUAAUAUCAAAGCUUCCUGAACUUGGAGCAAGAGGAUUGUACAGAGGUUCGAU